CUGCUGUUAAAAAGCUCGUAGUUGGAUCAAGAGUUCGACAGUGCACGGUGGCCCUGUUUGUCAUGGUGGUUCCGAUCACCGUGGCGGCAGCGGAUCAACCCCGUGCGCCAAACUGUCGACUCUAACAGACCGAAACGGUUCCCUGUGAGUAGGCUCCUUCAUUGGGGCUGAAAGCGCUUACGCAUCAACCAUAUGCAUACGGGACGUCUGUCAAAGUUACUGUGAACAAACCAGCGUGUCCAAAACAGGCUUUCGCCUGAAUGUUCGAGCAUGGAAUAACAAGGGAUCGAUUCUCUCGGUUCUUUUUGUUGGUUUUUAACCCGAGAAGGAGUAAUUCAGGCCACGGUGUCUGAGUUGGGUUUCCCUUCACCUCGGUGGAGGCCCCAAUUAGGCCGUGUCCUUACGGGAUAAAUAGGGACUGACGGGGUCGUACGUACUUCCACGUCAGAGGUGAAAUUCUUAGAUCGUGGGAAGACGAACUUCUGCGAAAGCAUUCGACAAGAAUGUCUUCAUUAAUCAAGAACGAGAGUGUGGGGAUCGAAGAUGAUCAGAUACCGUCGUAGUCCACUACUGUAAACAAUGCCGUCUCAGGAUUGAGAAGUGAACAGAAUGACUUUCACAGCACUAACCCCUGAAACGAGA
rnacentral:rRNA from 1 species